rnacentral:misc_RNA from 1 species
GGAAAAAAGGGCGUAAUGGGAGCGGCCAAGAGUUACCCCCGAUCAAAUAUUUGCAUAUACAUGAAUGUGAUAACUUUUCUAUUGGAAUAUUUUGCCUGUCACCGUCAUCUGUAAUCCCACUCCAUAAUCAUCCUGGAAUGACUGUCCUGAGCAAGCUUUUGUACGGUUCAUUGUAUGUGAGAUCAUAUGAUUGGAUUGAUACAGGCAGAACCUUUGAUCCAUCAGAAGCGAGGCCAGCUAAACUCGUUAGGGACUGUGAAAUGUCUGCACCCUGUGGGACAACAGUUCUCUAUCCUACGGUUGGUGGUAACAUUCACUCUUUCAAGGCGAUAACACACUGUGCUCUGUUUGACAUUCUAUCGCCACCUUAUUCAUCAGAGGAUGGACGCCACUGUUCAUAUUUUCGAAAAUCC